UCCUAUCUCUAGAAAGGGACCUGCUCCGGCUACAGGAGAAGCUUCUCCGUCUUGGAGAUGCACGGCAAGGUGGAGGACUCCUCUGACAACCAUCUAGAGGACGAUAACCCCAAGAAGGAGAGGUUGGUACAAGACUAUGCUUCGUCCAGGCUGCCCUGCAAAUUACAAUUCCAGCUUUACCUUGGCCUCUCCUGGGAGAAGACCGAGACAAAGCCUUCUGUGGCUCUAAUUAGGCUGUAAUUUGGCCUCCGAGCCGUGGAGGUCGGGAUAUGCAGCUUUAGCAGAGAUCUGCGUCCUGUCUCUGGGAACAGUGGCUUUGUUAACAUGCUUCUCUGGUGUGUCAUCCGUCUCACUGUUUCUCGUAUGGGGUUUUCAGAUGCUGCUCACUGGUUCUUUGGGGAUAGUUGUUUUUUUAAAGCGUUUUUCGCAGUCUUCAAGGUUUGAUUCUUUAAGGAUGCAUUUCCUAGUGUUUAACUUUAUUGGUCUUUGGCACUUAUUUGGACAAUGUAGGAGGCCGAGUUAGAACUGAAUUGCUGUUUAGAUGAGACAAAGGCGCAUUUAUGAUUGACUAAGAUACUCACACGGAUUGUUUAAUUAUCUUCCAGAACAUACGUGUGCAAUUGUAGUCCUUCGGAUGUAUUUUGGGAAAGGGAACUGACUACUUAAAGGAUAAAAUUUGAAAGAGGUGAAAUGGAGAUUUUCAUGGGGUUUGAAUCUCUGGGUCAAAAUCAGGUCUAUACCUUCAAAACAACUUUUAUGUUGUCUUUAAAAACAAGGUUACUAGGAAUUGUCUGUAUUCAAUGUGUGUGCUUGGAUCCUUAACCAAUUCAAAGGACCUGAGAUGAUUGAGAAACCAAUGCUGUCUUACGUACUGCGUUUAUCUUGAGGUGAUUCAGAAAUUAAAAGUGAAAACA